CUCAUGCAACAGAGCCAUGUGGAUAGCAGCUACCAGCCUACUGUGGUGACAUCAGUAGCCAUAACCCCAACCACAGCCAACAAGAAGAGAAUGAAGACCACCACAAAACAAGACAGUGGGCUCCAAGUGGGGCACACACACCCCAGAAGAUAUGCAAGAGGCCACAGACGAUGUGAAGAAUAUAUUAAAACUUCUAACAUUUAUCCAAAAGCACUUAACUUUGUGAUUGUGCCACAUACAGCACACCCCAGCAGAAAUAUACUUCAAGUCACCUUUCUAGAAUUGGUGUUUUUUACUGAUUUAACAAAUGCUGGACACAAAAAUCCAGGUUCUGAUAACAGUUUAGAGGCAGUUUCACCAGGGUGGUGGUUUUCCGAAUCACUCUUCACCUUCUCCACAAACAUCUUGAAAACUUGGUGUGAGGGGCAGCCUCAGAGAAGAGCUUUUCAGGGAAAAGCACUACAUGGGAGUCAUUGACCAAAAUCUCUUUCAGAUUCUUCUGACUCUGCUAAGCGUACAUCUUUGUGCAAGUCCCGUAAGCUCUCCAGGCCUCUUGUUUCUUCAACCAUAAGAUUAACUAACAACAGUAAUUAUUAGUUAUGUUAUUAUGGUGAUUAUGAAAAUAACAGUAGCUAACAUUUAUUAGGUGCUUAGGCACAGAGCAUGUUGUAAGAUCUCAUUUAGUUGCCGCAAGGACUCUACAUCCAG
rnacentral:lncRNA from 1 species